AAAUCAGUAUUUAGGAACGUGCUCCACUAAUUUAAGCAAUAUAUAUAAAGUAAUGAAACUCAAUAAAUUUUUUAACCAAGCAAAAAUAAGUCCUUAAAAAAAACAAACCAGAAACACACCAAAGUUAAAAAAAAUAAAAUAAAAUAACGUCCAUCCGCUACCUCUCCGACUCGCCUCUCCGUCAUCGCCUCUUAUGGCUUCCUCCAACAACACCCCAUUACUAGUAUAAUUUGGGAUUGUCCUGUACCUCUGCAUUUUGAUUAUGUCCCGUCCUCGUAUCAGUUGGAUCUAGAUUAUGUCUUGUCCUCUUUAUUACCAUCUCAUGUUUUAAAUAAUGUCC
rnacentral:lncRNA from 1 species